CCUGUAAUGAGCUUCAGAUAUAUGGAGUGGGAUGACAUUAUGUUCUGAACUGUUUCAGAUGAAAUGGUUUUAGUGGCAGCUGUAUUUAAAGAUGAGCGAUCUUCAUUCUCACAUUAAAGAGUGGGAGUAAACUUUUCACAGCGUAAAUGCCACCAGCAAAUCUCUGGGAAAGAGAGCCUGAUUCACUAUAGGAAUUACGCAUAUCAGCCUUUUCCUAACAGUGCUGGGCUAUUUGAUUGGAAAGCAACUUUAAUUGAAAAAUGGAGGCCAGGCUGUCCAGACUGGGGGCGACUUUUUUUUGGCACUAAUGAUGCACACUCAUCUUAUAAUGUCUUUGUGUAAAGAUGAAAGAGGAUGGAGUGGAACAAGCUUGCAUUGCAACAGAUGAAGCAGCACACCCCACAUUUAAUUACACCAUCAAGCCAUUGCAUUGCAUAUAAAAACACUCAGACAGAAUGAACAAUGGUCAUAGUCAAAUCUACCUACUUUUGAACAUAACAUUCUUCCAUAAAUUACAACAAAAAUAACCACUAAAUACUACUUUUUCCCAG
ensembl:lncRNA